rnacentral:rRNA from 1 species
GACGGUGGGUGCGAGCGUUAUUCGGAAUCAUUGGGCGUAAAGAGCGUGUAGGCGGCCGGUUAAGUCAGGUGUGAAAGCCCGGGGCUCAAUCUCGGAAGUGCACUUGAAACUGGUCGGCUUGAGUUCGGGAGAGGGAAGCGGAAUUCCUGGUGUAGAGGUGAAAUUCGUAGAUAUCAGGAGGAACACCGGUUGCGAAGGCGGCUUCCUGGACCGAAACUGACGCUGCGACGCGAAAGCGUGGGGAGGAGACAGG